rnacentral:lncRNA from 1 species
UCGUUCGUAGAUAGAUUAGGAUUAAAUACUUUUUAUAUGAUUAAGAAGAUCAGAUCUUCACCUUGUGCGGGUAGAUGAUCACCGCAAUCUGAUGAUCGUGGUAUUUGUUGAAGGUUCGCUUAAAGCCGCACACGCGUCCGGCCUCUACAGGUAUCCACACGAGGAGAGGACCGAUCAAAGCUCUCGAAUCUCCCCGGGGUGCUAGCUCCCUUGCAGAGAUGUCUUUUGAUGGUUGAAAACCUCCCUUUGAAUCAACUCUUGAUUGCCUUGGGGAGGAGGAAGAAGAAGGAUGGAUCCAAGGAAGAAAAACAAAAGCCUUGCAGCCUUUUCUUUUCCCUUUGUCUUGGAACCAAAAAUGGAUGAAGGAAAGGAUGCACGUCUCCCUAUAUUUUUCAUUGUCUC